CUCUCCCUCCCUCUCCCCCUCUCUCUCCCUCCCUCUCUCUCUCUCUCUCCUUGCAGUUUCUGGAAUUGGGAGUGCAAGAAGCGGCGAGCGAUUCCGGAGGUGACGAGAAGCAAUAGAAGUUCAUCUAGCAUGGUUCGAAUCAAUUAAAGACCUGAGAUUCAGUGGUAGAAGCUGCAGACAACCAUUGCCGGCAAGGCACAAGAGGUUUCUACGGUCAGAUCUAUAUUGAGGCGAGGCCAUGUCAAAGAAAACACCACUAGUUAUGUGUUUGCAGCCACCUCUGCUACAUUUUGUUGUAUCAUAUUUGAGGUUCAGUUUCAUGCUGGUUGCAAUUUCUUACGGAUUGGUGUAUUUUGUUGUAGGUAGUAAGAUCAUAAGAUACUAAUGGGGCUCCCUGUAAUCCCAAAGUGCACUGGCCAGUGGAUAGAUAUUUUCUACAAAAUCUUCGAGGCGCUUAAUUUUCUAUAUCGAAAACGACUGCUGGGUUGAGGUAGCUUGCUUCCCGUCAGAGAUUGAGGUUCCUAGGAGGUUACCAUCUGGAGUGUAAGGUUAUCCAUCACAUGUUUGUUCAAAUGUCUCAGGGGAAUUAGAUGUCAGAUUAUAUUUUACUAAUAUAGUGUUUGUUUCAUUGUAAAUUACUCAUUUCUGUUACUGUUGUUGUACAAGAUCAACGGUAUCUCCUUUGCUGCCAUCUUUUUUUUUUGAGCUACUUUUGUAGGAGAAUGAGAUGUGGGAUCAAACCACUCAGAAAUGUUUUGUACCCUUUAGAGCAUUUAUUUGCCAACUCCUUUGGGUUGUUGCACGCGA